GACCCAAAUUUGAAGUAGGGUAGAUUAGUUAGGGUCAGAUGACCAUAUUAAUCUACACUACUUCAAGUUUGUGCCC
rfam:Haemonchus contortus, ISE/inbred ISE, WGS project CAVP01000000 data, contig: Hcontortus_45357